CCGAGGAAAGAAUCUGGCUGUCCGGGCGGCCUGCCCAGCGAGUGCCUCCCUCCGACGGCACGGCCGGCCCCGCCCGCUCCCUGCCUGGUUCGCUUCCUCUCCGUUUCUUCCCCCUUUUCCUUUUCCCUCCCUUUCAUCUCUCCAGGCUCCCAGCUGAACCCUGCACCGCUCAGCUCCAGCCCACGGCCAGCACCCCCCGAGCAGCCAGCGCGAGUGUCCGUGGGGCUGGGACCCCAGAGAGACAGCCACCCCGAACGAGCCCCUCAAGGCCCCGGUCCAGGACCUGCGCCUUGACAAAGGCAGACACGCUUCCCUGGGAUCCCAGGCUCACAGCGAAGCCUCCUGCCCUGUCCCCUUCCCUGGGACUGGGGCACUGCCUCUCAUCGCCCAGGCACCAGCCCCAGGCCUUCACUCCAUCCCCUGCCCAGGGGCGGGGGGGGGGGGGGUUCCUCCCGCAGCAGCUGCUCCCAUACCCUUCUGCUGGCUGACUCUUUUCCAACCAAUCAGCUGGCUUCACCUGGCCCGUGGCUUAGCUCAAACACACUAGAUCCCUUUCUUCCCUCUGCUCUGCUCAAGUUCUUCUCUCUACAUAGAAGACCUCCCCCUUUCCCGACCCCAAGCAAUCCAGCGAGCUCCUAUAUACUCGUCAAAGCCCAUUUCAAAUGAUCCUACACUUGGGGUCAUGUAACUCCCCUCAGUCAGGGUCUGCAGGAAAUGCCUGGCCGCAGCCCAGGGCAGGCCCAGCCGGCAGACGGACGGGCUUUUCCCGUGGCCCACGGCUCCCCGAACAGAGAGGAAGGCGGCCGUCCGGCAGGGCGGCCAGGCCCAGGAAGGGCUGAGACGGACGGCACUCCCCAGGGAAGCAUCCAGGACCUGGGUCAGCGGGAGGCGGGCGCCCACUCACCCCUCGUGCAGUCACCACCCAGCGCAGACACAGCGUCCUGUAGGCGAGGCCGACCCUCCCGCCCGCGUCCACGGCCACCGUGCGCCGGACUCCCCGAAGGAACAGCGUCUCCCUCCCAGUCACUCACGGGUGCUCACGCCUUAAAAACAACACAGACUUUCACCCGGAACCUUCUGGACGCUGGAUGCCGAGAACGUAAGGGCUCGUCCCCGCCAGCCCGCCCUCCCAGUGCCCCUGAGAACAGAAGGGCCGUCGGGGACAGCCUGCCACCCCUCUACCCCGACAGGCAGGGCUGGGCGCCCCUACCGACCCACUGCACAGCGCAGCCACACCGGUGGUGACGUGAGACCAUGACACGCGGCAGGGGUGGGGGGCAGCAACCAUGGGGCGGGGGGCCCAAUCCCUGGGAACCCCACCCCUUCCCCAAGGAGCGGGAGUAACCCUCCCGCCUGUUAGCAUAUGACGUUACAGGGGCACCUCGGGGCUCAUCUCAGUUUUCUGGACGACCCCGUGCUCCGGGGCCACCUCCGGCCCCUCCAGACGGCCUGCACUCUGUGGGCUGCGUCCCUCUGAAUAAAUCUACCCUCACUCCACUGCUCUUGAAUUCUUUCCUGCACGGAGCCAGGGACCCUCACACGAUGGGGUGUGUCCCAGGGGCACGUGGCCGUGCCCCACCGCAUGUUCCCACAACCCCAGCCCCAAGUAAACCUCUCCC